AAUCUGAAUUUGAAGCAUGUGGCAAUAAAUUGAGUAGGCUAUACAUGUUGGACUUGAAAUUUGAAUUAGGAGAAAACCUGCGAUUUGGACCUGUCACUUGUUUAAACUGUCUGAUUUAGCUCUAGGAGCCGUUAUAAAAUUGUACUGUCGCAGUAUCCUCGAGACGAGUACUCUAGAUAGUUUAGAAUACAUUUACGCUUGUGCUGGUAUGCCGAGUAGAUUUUUACAGGGUCGUUUGGGCUGUUUUGGACUGUUGGGUGCCGUCAGAGUUGACGGUGGACCCGGAUCACCUUUUUGGCGACAGAUUAUGCCGAGGGCACGUGAACUGUUGGUUAUUAGACUAGUUAGAGUCGGUUACUUGACUUUGGCUUUUCAGAGCCUGAUUGAGCUAGACAGAGAUACGCUGCAUACUCGGUUGGGUAGCGCCCACAAGUGCCAUACCGGAUCGGCUUUGUGCUUUCGCGUUGGUGUCGCUCAUGCCGGUUGAACUUGCUCUCCACGGACCAAUUAGUGUGGAGGUAGCUGGAUAGUCGCAACUGGGUAGGGACGGGUGUAUUCACAGUCCCAGGGACGGGUAGGUUUACAGUCCCAAUUGGAUUCGGUCAGAUUUGACAUUUCCUACAGUUGGUUAGUGUAGAGCAUGAUAGUGUAGUGAUUGAUAGCGGUAGAAUUUACUUCCUGCUUUUUCCUACUAUACUGGCUCCCCACUGAGGACUACUUGUUUUACAGUAGUUCUCACGCCCAGUUGGUACCCUUAUUUUGCAGAGCCAUAGGUUUCGGCUGCUGCGCCUUCCGCCGAUCAGGAUCGAAGCAAGGGCGUCGCGAGUUAGAGCCCUACCCGACAUGCUGAGUUAGAGGUGCCCCUACUGCAGGUAGAUGUUUUGUUUCUAGUUUAUGUACAUAGUAGACUUAACUCGCCAGUGCGAGUAGCUCUGUAGUUUGGAUUUGGACUAUGUAUAUGAAACUCAGUUUGUUUAGCUUCUGUUUUCUCUAGCAGCUCUCUACUACUGUUCGUAGUAGUGUUGGAUUUACAGGUACAGCUGUCGCUUCGUAUACAAGAAAAAUUUCUUUGUAUACGGCGGAUUUGUCGGCGUGCCCGGGGAACGAGACAUCCGGGGCGUGACAAAUUAAGUUGGUAUCAGAGCUUUGCUGUAGGUCGUUGGGACCUAGGAAACCUAAGUUUGGCAAACCUUAGGAAAGCAAAACGCGAGAGGUGAAAUUUAAUUGCGAAAGUCAAUGAUUAUUUGUUCUAACUCCUUCUAGAGUGGAGUGAGUGACUGAAGGAGUUCCUGUUUUGGCCUGAGAAAUUAUGUUGGCUGUAGACGACAUAAUUUUAGAGGGAAACAGGGACCGCCUUCCAGACUUUCGUUGAUUGGGUCGAGAGUGUUGUGUUGUAUCUGACCCCGAUUUGUUCCUUUCAGCUUUGUAUCGUCGUCGAGGUCGACCGUCAUUGCGGGAGCGUGCCCAGUUGGCGCGGGAUCUUGCAGGAUCUUCCUAGAGACCUGAGCAGAUGGAGCAGAGUACUCAGCAGGAGCAGGGUGACAGACUGGAGGCGAGUGCACCCCCUAUUGGGGAGCCGAGUGCGCGACCUGAGGCUAGCGCACCCCCUGAUUUGAGUGCUCAGUUGGCUGGCCUGACAGAGGUGACGAGGCAGCAGGGGGAGAUGUUGCAGAGGUUGUGUGAGAGGGUGGCUCAGACAUCGAGUACAGUACCGAAAGCACCAGAGCAGGUCAUUCCGCCUCCGACUACUCCAAUGGCCGCACCAGCCGUAGCUGUACCCCCACCAGCGGAGUUUCCGGCCGCGCCAGUUGCGCCAGCUAGGGGACCGGUUCAGUUGACAAAGGCCGAGCAGAAGCGGUGGACAGAGAGGUUGGCCCGCUUCCGCCGUUUCGAUCCACCGAUCUUUGAUGGCAGUUACACUGAGGCUUGGGUUGUUGAGGGCUGGGUCAGUGUGAUGGAGAAGCUAUUCGAGAAUCUUUUCAUCCCUGAGGGGGAGCAUGUGUCUUUGGGAGUCCAUUGUUUGGCAGGUGACGCCCACGCCUGGUGGAGGAGAGUGCGGAGAGAGCAGGGACUGGUAGCGUUGCAGCUUAGUUGGGAUGAGUUCUGUGGAAUGCUGUUUGGGAUGUUCUUUCCCAACAGUAUGAAGCAGAAGCUCGAGGAGGAUUACGUUCGGGAGUUUACUCGACUCUUGAACUGCGUGCCAUUUGUGGCCAGAGAUGAGGCCCACAUGGUUUACAUGUUCGAGCAGGGGCUGAGACCGGAUAUUUUUAGGUUGACUCGGACGUAGAGGUCAAGGACUCUGGAUGCGUCUAUAGAGCAGGCCUUGUGGGUGGAGCGAGGUGAGGCAUCGCUACAGGAGAGGACUCAGGCCGUGGGGCAGAAUCAGGAUAGGAAGCGCCCCUUUCCAAAUGACGGAGGACAGUCGAGCAGUAGACGUCCGCCGAGGCCUCCACGAUCACGUUCUCAGGGUCGUGGGUCUUCGGGGCGUCAGCGUUCCAGGGGAUCCCGUCAGCAGGGUCAGACUCAGAGGGCACCGCAGUGUGUGAUCUGCGGGGGACCACACUGGCCCCGAUAGUGCGAGCAGAGAGAGGGCAGGUGCUACGGAUGUGGUCAGCCGGGACACAUGAGGGCAGCUUGUCCCCGAGCAGCGUCUCCAACACCAUCAUCAGCUUCAGCACCACCAGCACCGCAGCAGUCUUACGGAGCAGCACCGAGCUACUGCCAGGAGGACAGAUCGUCUGUGCCGCGGUCGAGUGAGCAGCGACAGCAGGCUCCAAGUGGCAGGGUUUAUGCAGCCCAGGUGGAGAACUCUACGGCAGCCGACCGAGCGGUGGCAGGUAUCACUUUGAUAUCUGGCAUUAGAGUUCGCACUCUUUUUGAUACCGGUGCAUCACAUUCCUUUAUUAGCCGAGUAUUUGCACAGUUACAUGGUCUAGAGUUAGGAGCGUUGUCUCAGGCACGAGAGGUGCAGAUCUCAGACCAUGUUUUGCAAGUUGUGGAGUGUUGUUGGUCAUGCCCAGUGCAGCUAGACUCGUGGAUUAUGCCCGCAGACCUGUUGGUGUUAGGGCAGCUGCAGGACUUCGACAUCGUGCUCGGUAUGGAUUUGCUGGCGCGGUACUAUGCUACGAUCGGCUGUGGAGCGAGGACGGUGACGUUCCGCGAGCCAGGCCAGGAGGAGUUUACUUUCAAAGGCUGUAGGAGCACGCUGUUUGCCACCUGGAUAUCUUCGGCGAGGGCUCGACAGAUGCUGAGUAGCGGGUGUAUCGCUUUUCUAGCGACAGUUGUGGAGGUACCUACGGCGGCGCCGGGACUCGAGGAUAUCCCAGUAGUCCCCGAGUUUCCGGAUGUAUUUCCCCCUGAGUUGACGUCGUUGCCGCGGGAGAGGGAGAUUGAGUUUGUGCUUGAUGUAGUUCCUGGAACUGCACCAAUCUCGAAGGUACCUUAUCGGAUGGCGCCGGUAGAGCUGAGGGAGCUAAAGGCACAGCUGCAGGAUUUGAUGGAUAGAGGGUUUGUGAGACCCAGUGUUUCGCCUUGGGGAGCGCCAGUGUUGUUUGUGAAGAAGAAGGAUGGUUCACUUAGCCUGUGUGUGGAUUACCGGGAGCUGAAUAAAGUGACCAUCAAGAAUAAGUAUCCCUUGUCGCGUAUUGAUGAUUUGUUUGAUCAGCUGCAGGGAUCUUAUGUCUUCUCGAAGAUUGAUCUCCAGUCAGGUUACCACCAGCUGAGGGUGAGGGCCGAGGAUAUUCCCAAGACGGCUUUUCGGACUCGGUACGGGCAUUAUGAGUUCACGGUGAUGCCUUUUGGAUUGACAAAUGCCCCUGCCGCAUUCAUGGAUUUGAUGAACAGAGUGCUUAAGCCGUUCUUGGAUAGAUUUGUGGUAGUCUUCAUCGACGAUAUCUUGAUUUACUCCCGGAGUAAUGCUGAGUAUGAGGAGCACUUGAAGAUUGUGCUACAGCUUCUGCGAGAGAAGAAGUUGUCUGCCAAGUUAAAGAAGUGCGAGUUCUGACUACGGGAGGUUGCUUUCUUGGGCCACGUGAUUUCAGCUGAGGGCGUAGCAGUGGACCCGAAGAAGAUUGAGGCGAUUUGAGAUUGGCCUAGACCGACGACGGUGACUGAGGUACGGAGUUUUCUGGGACUGGCAGGAUAUUACAGUCGGUUUGUGGAAGGCUUUGCGAAGCUUUCCACACCCCUCACACGCUUGACGCGGAAGGGGAUUCGUUUUGUCUGGAGCGACGACUGUCAGAGGAGCUUUGACGAGUUGAGACUGAGGUUGACGUCGGCUCCUAUCCUUGCCCUUCCGGUGAUGGGGGUGGAUUUGUGAUCUAUAGUAAUGCAUCGCACAGUGGACUUGGUUGCGUGCUGAUGCAGCAUGGUAGGGUGAUUGCUUAUGCUUCACGGCAGUUAAAGGAUUAUGAGAAGAAUUACCCUACGCAUGACUUGGAGCUUGCCGCGGUGGUUUUUGCUUUGAAGCUCUGGCGGCAUUACUUGUAUGGCGAGCACUGCGAGGUUUUCACUGAUCAUAAAAGUCUCAAGUAUCUGUUCACACAGAGGGAGCUGAACCUGAGGCAGCGCCGGUAGAUGGAGUUACUGAAGGCUAUGACAUUAGUAUUCAGUAUCAUCCCGGCAGGGCGAAUGUAGUGGCAGAUACGUUGAGCAGGAAAACAGUGUAGAGCCUGAGUUUGACGAUCACUGAGCAGAAACCCCUACUAGAGGAGCUACAGCGGCUGGGACUCGAGAUAGUACCCCCUGGCUCUACAGCGAGGCUGACGUCUCUAGUUUUACAGUCCACUCUGUUGGAUAGGAUCCAAGAGAAACAGAGUGGAGAUCCGUACUUGUUGAGGAUCAGAGAGCAGCUAGACAGGGUGCAAGUUGAGGGUUUUGCUUUGGACAGUUCGGGAGUACUACGGUACAGGGACCGACUGUGUGUGCCUGUGGAUUCUGAGAUCCGAGCAGACAUUCUGAGAGAGGCUCAUUGUUCAACUUAUACGGUUUACCCUGGGGGAACCAAGAUGUAUAAGGAUCUAAAGGCACGGUUCGGUGGCAUAGAAUGAAGAGGGACAUUGGCAGAUAUGUGGCUCAGUGUUUGACUUGCCAACAGGUAAAGGCCGAACAUCAGGCGCUUGCUGGCAAGCUUCAGAGUCUGCCAGUGCCCGAGUGGAAGUGGGAGUACAUCACUAUGGACUUCGUCGUUGGAUUGCCUAGAGCACAGGGUGGCUACGACGCGAUUUGGGUCAUAGUGGACAGACUGACCAAGUCUGCUCACUUCCUACCGGUUCAGACUACCUGGUCCAGAGAGAGACUCGCGCAGCUAUACUUGGAUGAGAUCGUUAGGCUGCACGGUGUGCCAGUGUCGAUUGUAUCAGACAGAGACCCGAGGUUUGUAUCCCAGUUUUGGAGGAGUCUUCAGACCGCCUUGGGCACUCAGUUACAUUUUAGCACGGCGUUCCACCCACAGACAGAUGGUCAGUCAGAGCGGACCAUACAGACUCUAGAGGACAUGCUGAGGGCAUGCGUCCUGGAUUUUGGAGGAGGGUGGUAUCGACAUGUGAGCCUGGUUAAGUUUGCGUACAACAACAGCUAUCAAACGAGCAUUCAGAUGGCUCCGUUUGAGGCGUUGUAUGGACGCAGAUGUCGAUCCCCCCUGUUUUGGAGCGAUGUGGGUGAGCGGAGGACACUUGGACCGGAGAUUCUACUUGAGGCUGAAGAAAAGGUGAGAAUCGUUCGACGACACCUUUUGGCAGCACAGAGCCGGCAGAGGAGCUACGCCGAUACCAGGAGACGAGACUUGGAGUUCCAGGUUGGAGAUCAUGUAUUCCUUAAAGUCUCGCCGUCCAGAGGGAUACGCCGAUUUGGAGUACGUGGAAAGCUUAGUCUACGGUUUGUUGGCCAUUUCGAGGUAUUGGAGCGUAUCGGACCCGUUGCUUACAGGAUAGCUUUACCCCCGCAACUUGUUGGCAUCCACGAUGUUUUCCACGUCUCAGCAUUGAGGAGAUACGUUUUCGAUCCCACUCACGUGAUUGACUUCACUCCACUGGAGAUUAGCAAGGAUCUGAGAUACGAGGAGCGACCGUUGCGGAUUCUUGCUUGGGAGACGAAAGAAUUGCGCAACCGGGUCAUCCCGUAUGUGAAAGUGCAGUGGAGCAAUCACGAGGAGCGGGAGGCGACUUGGGAGCCUGAGACGGUGAUGAGGGAGGCCUAUCCCUAUCUGUUUGAUGCCUGAGUUGAGGUACGUUUCAGUUUCGUGGACGAAACUUUUUGUAGAGGGGGAGGAUGUGAGAUCCCUGGUGUUCUGUCGUGGAGACUUGUCGGCAGCUCUGAAGAGUGUCGGGACAAGUCCGAGUCGCGUUGGCGUCAAAUAGACGCAAAACGGACUUCGUGCGAUGCGAGGGCGACUUAUAGCGAAGAAAUCUGCAAAAUAGCAGAUUUCUCUGCUUGUUGUACCGGUACAACCAGCAGGCUGUACCGGUACAACCAGCGCGCACUGGCUUAACUGCUCUCGGGUUGGCUCUUGUACCGGUACAGGAGCCCGUGUACCGGUACAAGGGGGUAGGUAGAGGGCUGUUUGGUAAUUCCCUCCCUCGUUUGCAUCACCACUCCACCCACUGCUAUAUACAGGUGUAGAGAGCUUGAGAGAGAGUGUUCUUGCUGCUCCUUCUUCUCCUCUCUCUCUAUAGCUUGGUUCGACCGUGGAGGGGCUUGGUUAGAGCUUUCAUCGUCGAAGUCGCGCCGCGGAGUCGUUCGAGGAUACGGUUGCCGCCGUUGCAUCACGAGGAAGCUGGGCGAGUGCGGAUUUUCGCUGAUCGUGACGUCGCACCAGUGCUAGCUGCGGUCGAGGUUGGUUAUCUAGCACUUCCUUCGUUUUGGCUAGUUUUUACUUCUUCGAGCUCAUAGAUGCUGAUUUGCUGAAAAUCGCCGUCGACCGUUAGUAUUUCAGCUCGUACUCGACGUAGGAGCAUCGGAUUGUGACGAGACUUGGUUCUUUGGAUUCAGGAUUGCUAGAGGAAUCCACGAAAUCCUUACUUGUGGAUUUUUGUGCAGGUUAGCUUGGUUGAAACCCUUCUCUUCUCUGCUGCUGUGUAUUUGGACUGAAUUGUAGAUUUUCGAUGUUGAUAGCUUGGAGAUAGUUUGAUUUCGAGACUCGGACAUUUUCAGUCGAUCCAGUUCCGUGCUGCCAGGAAUUAGCUUUGAGGUGGGUUACAUCGGUUUUACUUCUAAGUUCAUAAUCGUCGACAUGUAUAGAUUUCGAUUUUGGAUAAUCUAUUCUAGCUCGAAUUCAUGGAUUAUAUGGUAGAUUGCAAAUUUGAAUUUGGAGCAUGUGGCAAUAAAUUGAGUAGGCUAUACAUGUUGGACUUAGAAUUUGAAUUAGGAGAAAACCUGCGAUUUGGACCUGUCACUUGUUUAAACUGUCUGAUUUAGCUCUAGGAACCGUUAUAAAAUUUUACUGUCGCAGUAUCCUCGAGACGAGUAUUCUAGAUAGUUUAGAAUACAUUUACGCUCAUACUGGUAUGCCGAGUAGAUUUUUACAGGGUCGUUUGGGCUGUUUUGGACUGUUGGGUGCCGUAAGAGUUGACGGUGGA
rnacentral:lncRNA from 1 species